rnacentral:rRNA from 1 species
GUGGGGAAUCUUGCGCAAUGGGCGAAAGCCUGACGCAGCCAUGCCGCGUGAAUGAUGAAGGUCUUAGGAUUGUAAAAUUCUUUCACCGGGGACGAUAAUGACGGUACCCGGAGAAGAAGCUCCGGCUAACUUCGUGCCAGCAGCCGCGGUAAUACGAAGGGGGCUAGCGUUGCUCGGAAUUACUGGGCGUAAAGGGCGCGUAGGCGGACAGCUUAGUCAGAGGUGAAAGCCCAGGGCUCAACCUUGGAAUUGCCUUUGAUACUGGCUGUCUUGAGUUUGGGAGAGGUGAGUGGAACUCCGAGUGUAGAGGUGAAAUUCGUAGAUUUUCGGAAGAACACCAGUGGCGAAGGCGACUCACUGGCCCAAUACUGACGCUGAGGCGCGAAAGCGUGGGGAGCAAACAGGAUUAGAAACCCUGGUAGUCC